GGCCUCGUGGUCUAGUCGCUAUGGGUGCGAGAGGUCCCGGGUUCGAUUCCCGGUGAGGCCC
rfam:Phytophthora infestans T30-4 supercont1.28 genomic scaffold, whole genome shotgun sequence.